UGUGUGUGUGUGUGUGUAAUAGUUGCCCAAGCCAGAGCUCCCACGUGAAAGGCAACCUUAAAAUUCUUACUUGGUCCUCCAGCGACCCAGUCCCGACAGAACAUCUCUCUAAGAGAGCUGCCCCUGGCAGAGCAGCACCUAGGCUGGGGGUGGGGGGCGUUUUAUGUAGCACUCAGGGCCCUUGAUUGCAGCCGAAGUUCCCCCUCUGGCCAUGAGGGGGCGCCAGCACGCCGCCACC
rnacentral:lncRNA from 1 species